rnacentral:rRNA from 1 species
UACGGGGGGGCAAGCGUUGUUCGGAAUUACUGGGCGUAAAGGGCUCGUAGGCGGCCAACUAAGUCCGACGUGAAAUCCCCAGGCUUAACCUGGGAACUGCGUCGGAUACUGGAUGGCUUGAAUCCGGGAGAGGGAUGCGGAAUUCCAGGUGUAGCGGUGAAAUGCGUAGAUAUCUGGAGGAACACCGGUGGCGAAGGCGGCAUCCUGGACCGGCAUUGACGCUGAACAGCGAAAGCCAGGGGAGCAAACGGG